rnacentral:lncRNA from 1 species
UGUUGCUGCUCUAACAAAUUGCCACAAAUUUAGUGGCUUAAAAUAACACACAUUUAUUCUCUCCCAGUUCUGCAGCUCAAAAGCCCAAAAUGAGCCUUACAGGGCUGAAAUCAGUGUCCACAGGGCUAGUUCUUUCUGGACGCUCUGGGGGACAAUCCAUUCCUUGACUCUUCCAGCUUUUGCCUUCCUUGGUUCAUAACUGUUUCUUCUCCUCACUCCAAUCUUUAACUUCCUUCAUCAUACCUACCGCUCUCUCUUAUUAUAGUACACUAGUAUUAUUAACCAUGCUGUGCAUUAGAUCUCCAGAGUUUAUUCAUCUUAUAACUGAAGGCUCGUCCUUUGACCAGCAUCUCCCUAUCUCCCCCACUCCUCAGCUCCUGGAAACCACCAUUAUCUCUUUCUAUGAGUUCAACUUUUUUUUUUAGAUUCCACAUAUAAGUGAGAUGAUGCAGUAUUUGUCUUUCUCUGUCUGGCUAACUUCACUCUGCACAAUGUCCUCUAGAUUCACCCAUUGUUGCAAAUGGCAGAUAUUGCUUGUACAGCAAUUCCUUCUCAGCUGGAGAUUCUCCUGAGACUUUCAUCAGCUGUAACCAAGGAAGCUGGUGGGGAUGCUCUGUGCUUGAUCCUAAAAAGAGAGGGGAGCAUCUCACUGCCCAUAAUGCCAAGACAAGCUGCAGAGGGAGUGGGGCUCAAUAAACGCUUGCAGUUGAAUGGAAUUGCACACUUGGAGUUGAGUGGAAUUGUAUACUCCUUGUGCUCAUAUCGUCUGCUUCUCUACAAUCAAGCCCUGUUCAAUGGGAGUCAAGGUGUCAGGGGGAAAGGAGACCAAUUUAGAAGAACACUUUAUUGAGGUAUAAUUGAUAUUAAAAAAACUGUACAUAUUUAAUGUAUACAGCUUGAUGAGUUUGAGAAUAAGUACACGCCAGUAAAAUCAUCACCAUAAUCAAUGCCAAAAACAUAUCCAUCACCUCCAAAAGUUUCCUCUUCUCCUUUUUCUUUUCUGGUGGCAAUAACACAACAUAAGAUCUACCCUCUUAGCAAAUUUUUAAGUACACAAUACAGUAUUGUUAGCCAUAGGCACUAUGGUGUACAGUAGAUCACUAAAACUUACUCAUGUUGCAUAAUUGAAACUUUGUACCCUUUGACCAAGACCUCCCUGUUUCAAAGAGAUCUUAUUCUUGCCUGUUUUAAAAAUCAUCCUCAUUCAGUAUAGGUACUCAAUCUCAAUUUAAUUCUUCAUCUCAAAGAGAGGUAAUGAUAUCUACUUAUUUUCAGUAAAUUAUUGUAUAUAAUUUUUAAGUAAAAACCAAUUAGUAAGUCAACAGUCACAUUUAACCACAAUAGAAAACACACAUCCCUUUGUUUUGAGAAAUAAGAGACUGCCUUUGUCGGUCCACAGAGAGUGGACUGUUGGGCUUCUGCUCUUCCUAAUGUUCCAGGCAGUGUGGACAGUAACCAAGUAGAAUGAUGGUGUGUUAGUGAUGCCUUAGAUCUCAAGAAUCCAAGUAUUGGACAAAUAAGACAUUAGACAUAAUCACUACCUGUGAGCAAAAAGGUUUAUUUUUCUUUUAAUUUCUAACAUUACAAGGAAAAAGAAAAGGAACCAUAUUUUUCCCUAGUUUCAUUAUAAUAGGUGUAUGACAAUAUAUGUAUUAAAAUGCAUGAAAAGCAUGACAAUCUAUUUAAUUCAGCAUAAGAAAAAUGCCAAUCUGCACAGAAGAACUUAUGGUGUUAACUGAGUUUACACAGGUAUGCAAGCUGUAGUUCUUUUCCAAUAGAAGAUAGUGUGUGCUGGAUCUUGGCCUUUCUAGACAGCAGCUGUGAACAUGGCCUGGAGCAUCCACUGUCAGGCUCCUGUCACCUCAUAGACCGAGAAGAGAGCUUUCUCUGCCUUGGGUCCCAUCAUUUCUUUGUGCUACUUAUUGAGACAAUCUAGAUUAGACUUGCUGAAUUACUUCAGGGGAAUCUAUAUUGAAUGCCCACUCAAUGUGUAUAUGGUCCUGUCUUGGGUUGCUUAUGUUCAAAGAUUAAUCAUAUUGAUAAUGCAUUUACCCCACAAAAAUCUGUAUUAGAUUUCACACAAUGAUACAAUGCAAAAUGAAAUCAAUUUAGCAAAAACACAGACUAUGUUAUUCAUGAAUUUACACUCAAGAAUAAAAAAUUAAUGAGAGCUGAUAUUUAAAAAUAU